GACGAACGCUGGCGGCGUGCCUAAUACAUGCAAGUUGAGCGCUGAAGGUUGGUACUUGUACCGACUGGAUGAGCAGCGGACGGGUGAGUAACGCGUGGGGAAUCUGCCUUUGAGCGGGGGACAACAUUUGGAAACGAAUGCUAAUACCGCAUAAAAACUUUAAACACAAUGUUUAAGUUUGAAAGAUGCAAUUGCAUCACUCAAAGAUGAUCCCGCGUUGUAUUAGCUAGUUGGUGAGGUAAAGGCGCACCAAGGCGAUGAUACAUAGCCGACCUGAGAGGGUGCUCGGCCACACUGGGACGGAGACACGGCCCAAACUCCUACGGGAGGCAGCAGUAGGGAAUCUUCGGAAAUAGACGAAAGUCUGACCGAGCAACGCCGCGUGAGUGAAGAAGGUUUUCGGAUCGUAAAACUCUGUUGGUAGAGAAGAACGUUGGUGAGAGUGGAAAGCUCAUAAAGUGACGGUAACUACCCAGAAAGGGACGGCUAACUACGUG
rnacentral:rRNA from 1 species